CAGUGGCCCUGGGGGUCAUCAUGGAGCUGUGUUGAGGGCCUGAGCAUGAGGAGUCACAGAACGGAGGAGCUAAGCCCCUGUCUGCCACCAGCGAGAGUUCACGCCUCCGCUCUCCUUGUAUAGGACACCUAUGUAGAAUCAUAUUUAAGGAAAGGCUUCCCCUGUUACAAAUGUUUGAGGGCCUGGUUCUAGCUCAAUCCCUUUUAUUCUACAGAAGGGGCAAGUUGGCGACCUCCUGACGGCUCUAGACCUCCUCCUACCCACCGUCUCCCGUGGGAUGUAGAAGGAAGUGAUGUGCAGCGGGAAUGUGCAUGUUUAAUCAAGUGAUGAACGAGCAGGUGAAGCCGGGAGGAGGAAAUGCAGGAGACACGCACAGGGUUCCAAGAGCAAAGGAGAAAACGAGAAAGCCAGCCCAGGACAGGCCGACAGGGUCCCCACUGAGAGACAAAGGGGACACAC